rnacentral:rRNA from 1 species
CCUACGGGCGGCAGCAGUGAGGAAUAUUUGUCAAUGGACGAGAGUCUGAACCAGCCAAGUAGCGUGAAGGAUGACUGCCCUAUGGGUUGUAAACUUCUUUUAUAUGGGAAUAAAACGUUCCACGUGUGGGAUUUUGUAUGUACCAUAUGAAUAAGGAUCGGCUAACUCCGUGCCAGCAGCCGCGGUAAUACGGAGGAUCCGAGCGUUAUCCGGAUUUAUUGGGUUUAAAGGGAGCGUAGGUGGAUUGUUAAGUCAGUUGUGAAAGUUUGCGGCUCAACCGUAAAAUUGCAGUUGAAACUGGCAGUCUUGAGUACAGUAGAGGUGGGCGGAAUUCGUGGUGUAGCGGUGAAAUGCUUAGAUAUCACGAAGAACUCCGAUUGCGAAGGCAGUUCACUGGACUGCAACUGACACUGAGGCUCGAAAGUGUGGGUAUCAAACAGGAUUAGAUACCCUAGUAGUC